rnacentral:rRNA from 1 species
ACAUGUCUACAUCAUAGCGUUAAUGCAUUGAAUCCCAAUAGAACUCCAUAGUUAAGUGUGCUCAGGCUAGAGUAUUACUAGGAUGGGUGACUACUUGAGAAGUCCUAGUGUUUUACAUGCC